rnacentral:rRNA from 1 species
GACGAACGCUGGCGGCGUGCUUAACACAUGCCAGUCGAACGGGUCUGCCCUGUUUUUUGCGGGGUGGGUCAGUGGCGAACGGGUGAGUAACACGUGAGUAACCUGCCCCUCACUUCUGGAUAACCGCUGGAAAGGGUGGCUAAUACGGGGUGUUCUUGCUGUGCCGCAUGGUGUGGCUGGGAAAGAUUCACUUUUGGGGUGUUUUGGUGGGGGAUGGGCUCGCGGCCUAUCAGCCUGUUGGGGGGGUGAUGGCCUGCCGAGGCUUUGACGGGUAGCCGGCGUGAGAGGGUGGGCGGUCAGACUGGGAGUGAGGUCCGGACGAGACUCCGGCGGGAGGCGGCAGUGGGGGGUAUGGAACAAUGGGGGGAAGUCUGAUGCAGCGACGUCGCGUGAGGGAUGGAGGCCUUCGGGUUGUGAACCUCUUUCGCCGGUGAAGAAGGUCCUGCUCUUUGUGGUGGGGUUGACGGUAGCCGGGUUAUGAAGCGCCGGCUAACUACGUG